rnacentral:rRNA from 1 species
CGCAAGCCUGACGGAGCAAGACCGCGUGAGGGAAGAAGGCUCUUGGGUUGUAAACCUCUUUUCUCUGGGAAGAACAAAAUGACGGUACCAGAGGAAUCAGCAUCGGCUAACUCCGUGCCAGCAGCCGCGGUAAGACGGAGGAUGCAAGCGUUAUCCGGAAUGAUUGGGCGUAAAGCGUCCGCAGGUGGCAGUUCAAGUCUGCUGUCAAAGACUGGGGCUUAACUCCGGACAGGCAGUGGAAACUGAACAGCUAGAGUAUGGUAGGGGCAGAGGGAAUUCCCAGUGUAGCGGUGAAAUGCGUAGAGAUUGGGAAGAACAUCGGUGGCGAAAGCG